rnacentral:rRNA from 1 species
GACGAACCGUGCGAACGUUGUUCGGAAUCACUGGGCUUAAAGGGCGCGUAGGUGGUUGAUCAAGCCUGGGGUGAAAUCUUUCGGCUUAACCGGAAAAGUGCCUUGGAUACUGAUCAGCUGGAGGGAGGUAGGGGCAGUUGGAACUUCCAGUGGAGCGGUGAAAUGCGUUGAUAUUGGAAGGAACGCCGGUGGCGAAAGCGAGCUGCUGGACCUCUACUGACACUGAGGCGCGAAAGCUAGGGGAGCAAACGGG